AGGUGCUAAUACCGGAUAACAACAUGAAUCGCAUGAUUCAAGUUUGAAAGGCGGCGCAAGCUGUCACUUUAGGAUGAGCCCGCGGCGCAUUAGCUAGUUGGUGGGGUAAAGGCCUACCAAGGCAAUGAUGCGUAGCCGAGUUGAGAGACUGAUCGGCCACAUUGGGACUGAGACACGGCCCAAACUCCUACGGGAGGCAGCAGUAGGGAAUCUUCCACAAUGGACGCAAGUCUGAUGGAGCAACGCCGCGUGAGUGAAGAAGGUCUUCGGAUCGUAAAGCUCUGUUGUUGGUGAAG
rnacentral:rRNA from 1 species